rnacentral:lncRNA from 1 species
CCAAAAUGGCACUCUGUAUUUAAGGCUAAGGUGUGGUGAAAUCCAGAGAAAGAAAACAUGAGAGAAGCUGGAGGAUAUUCAGAGCUGGAGAUGCCAGAAAAUGUGCAUUUUCAGAGCUCAAGGUGCACGUAGGUGCAAAGGAAGCCCUGUGGCUCCAUGUGUCAGUGGGACUGGGAGCAGGUCCUGAGCUGCUAGAAGCCACUGUCUGAUGUUUGGACAUCUAUCCUUGAGUGUCUUACAAGUUCCCUUUUUUCAGAAAGUAACGACCAUCAAACCUCCCAGUAGGAGGUUCCUGCAUCGGAGAGGUAUAACCAAGCAACCUUUAGGACUUAAGCCCAACUCUGUAUUUUCUAUUCCAGAAGCACACUGGAUGAGGCUCUAGCUCUUUACAACUUUGAUCCAGAAACCCCAGUGGGGAUAUUAUUGAAAACAUCAGUGCAGACAGGUUCUGGCCCUGCCCUCAUAAGAGGAAAAAGCCCUUUCGCAGUUGAGGUCUUAUUAUAUUAAGUUAAAAAUUUAUAGCAUUUAACUAGGCUGUAACCAGUUAAUGUGACUCAGGAAAGGCUGUAAUGUGGAUGGAGGCAUUACCACUUUGCCUCACUGCAGAAGUUACUGUUUUUCCAGACCUCACAUGUGAGAGGAGCCCAGUUAAAGCACGUCUAGCAAUUAGGCUGUGAGGUCACCUGAUUAAGUGAGGGGCAUCAGCAGGGUUUCAGGCUGACUGACUUCAGCUGGGCUGUGGCUAACAGCCUGAAACAUUUCUUUACCAGUGCUGUUGGGCUGAGCUCCUUCCCUACGACUUAUCAGCACCAGCAUUUCAGUAAAGCUAUGAGCGGCAGCUCUUACUGCCUGGGAACAAACUCAUGCGGCCCAGUCAGGAGGAUGGCAGCUCUACACAACCGCAGGGAGUUCCUCUGGGGCCCAGUCCGAAGCACCGGUCUGGCAGCUGCGACGUACCAAUGCUUCCCGCUCCCUUAAAACUGAACGGAGGAGAAACUGAGUUAUCUACACCACAACGAUUACGAGUUCUCAGUUUCAUCAGUGGACACUUGAGGCCACUUUUUUUACAGGCACUGGAAUGCACAGUGGUGUUGCAAACAGAUGCCCACAGGUGCCAUCAUCCUACUGGAAGCACGGUGGUUUUUGAAAUCCCAGGGAGAGGUUGUGUGGAAAUCGAACAUCUUUUCAAGUUCUUUAUUCUGCACUUCCUUUAGAGCCAGCUGCCUCCUGGCCGAGCUGAGCAGGGACACAGCCUGCACUGAAGGCAGAGGGUGGCAGUUUCUGGCCUCCCCCAUUACCCUGCAAAGUCCACCUGCAGCAUUUGCCUGCUCCUGGGGAUGGGCACAGACUGAGGCAGGUCUGGGGCAUGCCGAGG